CGGUGAAGCCCAGCUUGCUGGGUGGAUCAGUGGCGAACGGGUGAGUAACACGUGAGCAACCUGCCCUCCACUUCGGGAUAAGCCUUGGAAACGGGGUCUAAUACCGGAUAUGAGCUCGCAUCGCAUGGUGUGGGUUGGAAAGUUUUUCGGUGGGGGAUGGGCUCGCGGCCUAUCAGCUUGUUGGUGGGGUGAUGGCCUACCAAGGCGUCGACGGGUAGCCGGCCUGAGAGGGCGACCGGCCACACUGGGACUGAGACACGGCCCAGACUCCUACGGGAGGCAGCAGUGGGGAAUAUUGCACAAUGGGCGCAAGCCUGAUGCAGCGACGCCGCGUGAGGGAUGACGGCCUUCGGGUUGUAAACCUCUUUCAGCAGGGAAGAAGCGCAAGUGACGGUACCUGCAGAAGAAGCGCCGGCUAACUACGUGCCAGCAGCCGCGGUAAUACGUAGGGCGCAAGCGUUGUCCGGAAUUAUUGGGCGUAAAGAGCUCGUAGGCGGUCUGUCGCGUCUGGUGUGAAAUCCCGAGGCUCAACCUCGGGCUUGCAUCGGGUACGGGCAGACUAGAGUGCGGUAGGGGAGACUGGAAUUCCUGGUGUAGCGGUGGAAUGCGCAGAUAUCAGGAGGAACACCGAUGGCGAAGGCAGGUCUCUGGGCCGCAACUGACGCUGAGGAGCGAAAGCAUGGGGAGCGAACAGGAUUAGAUACCCUGGUAGUCCAUGCCGUAAACGUUGGGCACUAGGUGUGGGGCUCAUUCCACGAGUUCCGUGCCGCAGCUAACGCAUUAAGUGCCCCGCCUGGGGAGUACGGCCGCAAGGCUAAAACUCAAAGGAAUUGACGGGGGCCCGCACAAGCGGCGGAGCAUGCGGAUUAAUUCGAUGCAACGCGAAGAACCUUACCAAGGCUUGACAUGUACGAGAAAGCCCCCGAGACGGGGUUCUCUUUGGACACUCGUACACAGGUGGUGCAUGGUUGUCGUCAGCUCGUGUCGUGAGAUGUUGGGUUAAGUCCCGCAACGAGCGCAACCCUCGUCCUAUGUUGCCAGCGGGUUAUGCCGGGGACUCAUGGGAGACUGCCGGGGUCAACUCGGAGGAAGGUGGGGAUGACGUCAAAUCAUCAUGCCCCUUAUGUCUUGGGCUUCACGCAUGCUACAAUGGCCGGUACAGAGGGCUGCGAUACCGUAAGGUGGAGCGAAUCCCAAAAAGCCGGUCUCAGUUCGGAUUGGGGUCUGCAACUCGACCCCA
rnacentral:rRNA from 1 species